rnacentral:rRNA from 1 species
AUGAACGCUGGCGGCGUGCCUAAUCCCUGCAAGUCGAGCGCACAGAUGAGGAGCUUGCUCCUCUGACGUUAGCGGCGGACGGGUGAGUAACACGUGGAUAACCUACCUAUAAGACUGGGAUAACUUCGGGAAACCGGAGCUAAUACCGGAUAAUACAUUGAACCGCAUGGUUCAAUAGUGAAAGACGGUUUUGCUGUCACUUAUAGAUGGAUCCGCGCCGCAUUAGCUAGUUGGUAAGGUAACGGCUUACCAAGGCAACGAUGCGUAGCCGACCUGAGAGGGUGAUCGGCCACACUGGAACUGAGACACGGUCCAGACUCCUACGGGAGGCAGCAGUAGGGAAUCUUCCGCAAUGGGCGAAAGCUUGACGGAGCAACGCCGCGUGAGUGAUGAAGGUCUUCGGAUCGUAAAACUCUGUUAUUAGGGAAGAACAAAUGUGUAAGUAACUAUGCACGUCUUGACGGUACCUAAUCAGAAAGCCACGGCUAACUACGUG